AGCCAAAGAUUUUGCUCUCCUGAAAGCAUCACUGUUGUAUCAUAUAACUUCUGCUAUAUUCAAAACAUAUUCUGUACGUUGCUUUGAAAUCGUUUUCUGGUUUGAAGUUUGUGUGUGUUGUCUGCUUAAAUAGAUUGCCAGCUAUUCAAGAAUAAGAGCGCAUCUUCAACUUCUUUAGUGUCUGCAGAGUGAGUACUUGGGACAUGUGUACAUAAAUGUUUGUUGUGUGAUAAAACUUUACCCAUGAUUAACCAAUUUUACACUGUUUAUUCACCAUGUCUCUUUCUAAAAUGCUUAGGAACUCGGCUUUUCAAGAUGAGGUCAUGCGUAUGAAAGGCUUCAGAUAAGAUCCUCCUGUAUAGCCCAUUUACAUGGACUCUGACCUCUGACAAUAGAAGAGAGUGAUGCUGUAAACUAUCUGUGUGUCUUGUGAACCUUUGAUAUCUUUCAUGGAUCAGUUGUUAAAUCAUUCCACUGCACAAAUCUAAUCUUCCAGAUCAGAUUUCUCAUGAGAUAAAAUGUUGUCACAUAAUAACUAUGUGCUCUGAGGGGAGAAUGGUUUUAUACCAGCUCCUUUAUACCCUGUAACAAAAGAAGCAAUUGUUUCUUCUUCUGAACUGAAGCAUGAAAUAGACCUAGUUUAAAAAGUUAUAAAGUAUCAAUAGUUUCAGGAGUUGUAAAAAGACUUGGUAUAAAUGAAAUUUCUCAUAACUGUCCCUCUACAUCAGAAAAUUUGCCCCAAACAAUCCAGUCAGAAGAAACUUGUCUGUUGGAUUUCUCUGUUAGACACCAUUUUGUGUGGCAUUUGGUACCUAUUGGCUCAAUUUGUUAUUUCUUGAUCUGUUAAUUUCCUAAAGGAGACAUGGGACAUUGCCAGAGGGAAGGAAAAAUAGGUGAUGUUUGGGAUGGGCUAGAAGAAAGUUAUUUUGAGACCAAACAUGGAAGGUAUUAAGCCCCAGGCAAGAAAUUCUAAUUUAAUUCGGUUGAGUUGGGGGAGGAGCCAUUAGGGGUCACCAAGAGGGAAAUUACAUAUUCAUAGCUAUAGAAAAAAUAUAUAUAUCUGCUUAUGUAUGUUGAUAUAUUGAAAGGUGUCAAGGGGAUAAAAGUAUCAAGAGGAUAAAGAUCCCAAAUCCGUCUGCCAUGGUAUGCAUAGCAUCUCUUAGUUAUACAUAACAGGUGUUCAAUAAAUAUUUGUUGGAUGAGUGAAUAAACAGAAGCAAGUAGAGAUAGAAAAUGCCACUUAUUCACUUAGACAAACUUCCACAUGAGUCAUUGACACUGAACUCAGAUUUCUAUACAUAGUUUAUUUCUAUUGGUAAUUGAAAUACUGAGGGCAGAAGGAGAAGGGGUGACAGAGGAGAUGGUUGGAUGGCAUCGUCCACUCAAUGGACAUAAGUUUGAGCCAUCUCUAGGAGACAGUGAAGGACAGGGAAGCCUGGCAUGCUACAGUCCAUGGGGUAGCAAAGACUCAGACAUGACUGAGUGACUGAACAACGACAAUUUAUUUCUAUAUAGAUUGCAUCAUUAAUGAUGAUGUUAAAAGAGAAGGAUGGAGAAAAGGCUAUAUUUUUUUCAGUAUUGAUUAUGUAUUAAAUACUAUAUUAGAGUGCUUUACUCACAUUCACUUGUUUUCCCCAACCAACCACAGAAAGCUUAAGAGAUUAAAAACCAAGUGUGUAAAACCAACAGACCAUAUAAGGUUUUGAUUGGCAGUUGUUGCCAACACCUUUGAUGCCCCACCCGUUGGGCCAGCUGAGCUCCCAGAGCAUCCCCCAACACACUGCAGUUUCAGAAGGUUGGCAGCUUCCCUGCCAACACCUGUGUCCUUCACUCCUCCUGAGGACUUCUUUGGUACCUGGAAACGUGCUUAUCUGCAAACAGGUGCAACCCGGGAUCUUCCCGACCCAGGGAUCAACCCCUGGUCUCCUGCACUGCGGGCUAUUUACCAUCUGCCCCACCAGGGAAACCCAACUAAUAACCAGACCUGCAUCUCCUGCAAAUACCACCCUAAUCAUCUAUGGCUAUCCAGCUGCACUGGAAAGAAACCUGAGCCCCGAUGGCUCGUGUAUCCCGUGGAACUGAGCGGAUGUGUGGAAAGGGGCAGCAUCAUGAACCGGAGGGAAGAGUCAGUCGAAAUGAGGCAAGUCAGUGUUUGCUUACCCCAACCUAGCCCUUGAACCGAGCCACAACCUGAAUCGUCUGCCCCUCCCUGCCUUUCAGCUAGAGCCACUGCUUCAAGCAAGCAGCCCGGACUAAAGAGGAAGUCCUAAAUACUAUAACGUCUUUUUCACCAAAAUGUAUCUUGGGCACCUUCAGGGAGUGGUGUGUGUGUGUGUGUGUGUGUGUGUGUGGCUCCCUGGUUAAUUUUUCUAGUGGUUGCUUAUUAACCCCCAAAUCAGGUGUAGUGCUGAAUUAGCAACGAAGGUUCAGGACAGUUCCUUCGCAGUCCAUGCUGUGCCCAGGUUUGUGGCUGGCCUCUGGGCCACCCGGGCAGGCCGAGGAGCUUCAACGCUCAU